rnacentral:rRNA from 1 species
GUAGUCCACGCCGUAAACGAUGGGUACUAGAUGUUGCAGGAAUUGACCCCUGCAGUGUCGUAGCUAACGCAUUAAGUACCCCGCCUGGGAAGUACGGCCGCAAGGUUAAAACUCAAAGGAAUUGACGGGGGCCCGCACAAGCGGUGGAGCAUGUGGUUUAAUUCGAUGCAACGCGAAGAACCUUACCUAGAUUUGACAUCCUCUGACAUCCGUAGAAGUACGGCUUUCCCUUCGGGGACAGAGAGACAGGUGCUGCAUGGCUGUCGUCAGCUCGUAUCGUGAGAUGUCGGGUUAAGUCCCUUAACGAGCGCAACCCUUAUCCCUAGUUGCCAUCAUUUAGUUGGGCACUCUAUGGAGACUGCCGGUGUUAAACCGGA